AAAUGGAUUCACGUGUAAGCAGUGAGGUGGUCAUGUAGGCAAAUCCGCAUGGCAUAACAUUGAGCUGUGAUGCCGAAGCCGUAUGGCGAAGUCAACUGAUGUCACGCUUCCAAGAAAAGCUUCUAGGGUUAAUUUAGUAGGUGCCCGUACCGAUAACCGACACAGGUAGGCGAGGAGAGAAUCCUAAGAUGAGCGAGAGAACUCUUGUUAAGGAACUCGGCAAAAUGACCCCGUAACUUCGGGAGAAGGGGUGCUUGUGAAAGCAAGCCGCAGUGAAUAGGCCCAGGCGACUGUUUAUCAAAAACACAGGUCUCUGCUAAACCGCAAGGUGAUGUAUAGGGGCUGACGCCUGCCCGGUGCUGGAAGGUUAAGAGGAGAGGUUAGCGCAAGCGAAGCUUUGAAUUAAAGCCCCAGUAAACGGCGGCCGUAACUAUAACGGUCCUAAGGUAGCGAAAUUCCUUGUCGGGUAAGUUCCGACCUGCACGAAAGGCGUAACGAUCUGGGCGCUGUCUCAACAAGAGACUCGGUGAAAUCAUAGUACCUGUGAAGAUGCAGGUUACCCGCGACAGGACGGAAAGACCCCGUGGAGCUUUACUGUAGCUUGAUAUUGAGCACUGGUGACACAUGUACAGGAUAGGUAGGAGACGAAGAAGCCAGGACGCCAGUCUUGGUGGAGUCGCUGUUGGGAUACUACCCUUGUGUUACUGGGGUUCUAACCCGUGGCCAUGAUCUGGUCAGGGAACAGUGUCAGGUGGGCAGUUUGACUGGGGCGGUCGCCUCCCAAAGAGUAACGGAGGCGCCCAAAGGUUCCCUCAGAAUGGUUGGAAAUCAUUCGAAGAGUGUAAAGGCAGAAGGGAGCUUGACUGCGAGACCUACAAGUCGAGCAGGGACGAAAGUCGGGCUUAGUGAUCCGGCGGUACCGAAUGGAAGGGCCGUCGCUCAACGGAUAAAAGCUACCCCGGGGAUAACAGGCUGAUCUCCCCCAAGAGUUCACAUCGACGGGGAGGUUUGGCACCUCGAUGUCGGCUCAUCGCAUCCUGGGGCUGUAGUCGGUCCCAAGGGUUGUGCUGUUCGCCCAUUAAAGCGGUACGCGAGCUGGGUUCAGAACGUCGUGAGACAGUUCGGUCCCUAUCCGUCGUGGGCGUAGGAAAUUUGAGAGGAGCUGUCCUUAGUACGAGAGGACCGGGAUGGACACACCGCUGGUGUACCAGUUGUUCUGCCAGGAGCAUAGCUGGGUAGCUACGUGUGGACGGGAUAAACGCUGAAAGCAUCUAAGCGUGAAGCCCCCCUCAAGAUGAGAUUUCCCAUUCGAAAGAAGUAAGAUCCCUUGAAGACGACAAGGUAGAUAGGUCAGAAGUGGAAGUGUGGUGACACAUGGAGCGGACUGAUACUAAUCGAUCGAGGACUUAACCG
rnacentral:rRNA from 1 species